rnacentral:rRNA from 1 species
GCCAGCAGCCGCGGUAAUACGGAGGAUCCAAGCGUUAUCCGGAAUCAUUGGGUUUAAAGGGUCCGUAGGUGGAUAAUUAAGUCAGGGGUGAAAGUCUGCAGCUCAACUGUAGAAUUGCCCUUGAUACUGGUUGUCUUGAGUCAUUAUGAAGUAGUUAGAAUAUGUAGUGUAGCGGUGAAAUGCAUAGAUAUUACAUAGAAUACCAAUUGCGAAGGCAGAUUACUAAUAAUGUACUGACACUGAUGGACGAAAGCGUGGGGAGCGAACAGGAUUAGAUACCCUGGUAGUCCACGCCGUAAACGAUGGAUACUAGCUGUUCGGAUUUAUCUGAGUGGCUAAGCGAAAGUGAUAAGUAUCCCACCUGGGGAGUACGUUCGCAAGAAUGAAACUCAAAGGGAUUGACGGGGGCC